ACUUUAACAGUUUGUCUUGCCAUUCCUUUUUUGUUGGCACAAUUUCUUUUUUCCAGCAAGGAUCCUAAUUGCUAAAAACUGGAAAAAAGAAAUUGUGCCAACCAAAAUGGAAUGGCAAGACAAACUGUCAAAGU